GGCAAUCAGGAUGGCUACAGAUGCUGGC
rnacentral:piRNA from 1 species